UCAUUUCAAAAUAUGAUGGUUUCUUUUUCCAACACCCCUUUUGCAUAUAACCAUUAAUAAUAAUAAAAAGAGACUACAUCCUCUCUUUCCUUCAUCUAAGGGGUGAAGCAAGAUUAUCCUCAGUCCAAUUCUCGUGUCCAUUCAUCUUCCAUCAUCUACAUCGUAAAUCUCGAGACAACAUCUUCCAGGUAAAAACCUUCACUAGAUCUCAAACACUCUUUUGUUAAAAGAUGGGCUAACUGAUUUUCAAAGCAACUUGCAUGUUUAAGCUGAAGAAAAUUAAAACUGUUUAUCUUUUGUUUAAUGUUUCAGAUGUAGGUGCCUAUUUCAGAUCUAUCUUGUAUAUUCUUGUUGCAUUUCUUGAUGAUUUUUAGAUAAUUACCCUCUAUAACUGCUUUUGUUAACCCCAUUUCUAACCCCGUUUGUAUUACCCAUGAACAAGCAAGGGCCUCAGCUGCAAAACCCAUUCAACCUCCUCAAUAGAAUCGAUUAAGAUACCAAAACUUUACCCAAAGUAUUUCUAGCUACGAUUCUUGAUCCGGUCUGAAGCGCACUUUAUCAAAUGUUGUAUCAAACUUUAUUUUGAUUCUCGCCCCUAUAGGAGGUUCCUAUUUCCUGCCUUCACAUUGUUUGGUAACUUCCAUUACCUCGGCGUUCUCCAGUUCUGUUAUAUAACAAGAUAUGGAAGUGACAAUUUCCCUACCUGUUUUACUGAUUCUUUCGUGCAGUUUCCUGUUUCUUUCUAUCCAUAGGCUCCAUAAUGCAAUACAGAAUACUUGCCUUUAAAUAACCAAAUCUUCAUUGAAGACCCAUGUAAGCCAUUCGAAAAAUCCCUAGUCAAAAUUUGAUAUAAUCCCAUGAACCUUAGUAAAUUCCAAACUUCUAUUGUUACAGGGUAGCCAUAAAAAACUUGGUCCAAAGUUUCAUCUACACUACCAGACCUCAGACAUAUCAGACUUGACACAAGUCGUUUAAAAUACAAAUUAGCUAAAGUGGGAAUAUAAUUCUUCGAAAUUCACCACAUUGUAAUCUUGAUUUUAGCUGGAAGUUUUAGGCUCCAUAGCUUCCUAUAUAAUUCUCUAGCAUUGGUCUAUGCCUUAUUAAAAGUAGGGUAGAAAUACUAGUUUAUAAUAGUUUGUAGGAGCUUCGUACAGAAAAUCCCCCCGAAGGCUCGCCUCUCCACACCAUUACGUCUUCAUGAAGAAUACUAGCCAACAAGAUUCUCAAUAUUCUGGUCGCAUCGACACUCGAGAAAGUAUCAAAAAUAUGUUCCCUCUUCCAUUCUCUGUUUUCACUAUCAAUUAAAUCAGCAACAAGCAUAUAAUUAUCAUUGCGAACCAUAUUACUUAAUUUAUAAUCAUCUGAACCCGGAAUCCAUGCAUGAUUAAAAAUUGAAAUCUUUUCUCCCAUACCCACUCUCCAUCCAGUCCCAUCACACAACAACUUCUUCGCUGACUAAGUACCCUUCCGAGUAUACAACGCCUCAUGUUUUAAACUAACAUUGAAAAGAUCAGAUAGAGGGUAAUACUUAGCUUUCAAAACCCGAACAACUAAAGAAUUAGGAUAAUUAAUAAGUCUCUACCCUCUUUUGGUUAAAAGAGCCACAUUAAAUUUCUCAAAACUUUGAAAACCCAAACCCCAUUGCUCUGUCUAGUCACACAUUCUUUCCAAUUCACACCAGUGAAUACCCCUUUGCACUUGACCCUUCUACCACCAAAAUCUUGCCACAAUACUCUCUAUUUCCACACACAAAGACUUCGACAAUAAAAAACAAGCCAUUGAAAACAUCAGUAUGGCUUGAAGUACUGACUUUAUAAAUACCUCAUUGCCCCAUUGUGAGAGAAAUCUCGUACUCCAACUAUCUAUUUUCCUUUUCAUCCGAUCCUUCAAGAUCUGAAAUGAAGUCUUUUUAUUUCUACCCAUUAUAUUAGGAAGACCUAGGUAUUUCUUCAGGUUAUUUGAGUAUCGAACUCCCAAUUCUGUUGAUAUUUGCACUCUUACCAUAUCGGAAGUAUUUGCACUAUAAUAUACCAUAGACUUUUCAAAAUGCACACAUUGUUCUGGAUAGUCUUCAUACUCCUCCAAAAUCCAUUUAAUGACAUGUUUACCCCUCUCUAAAGCCUCUCCAAAAAGAACGCAAUCAUCUGUAAAGAGUAGAUGGGAGAUUUGGGGCCCACUCCUACUCCCCUUUACUCAUUUUACCAAGCUUUCUCUAACUACAAGUCUCAUGAGAGAAGACAACCCCUCACUAUAAAUUAGAAAUAAAAAUGGGCUUAAAAGGUCUCCUUGUCGUAAUCCUCUAGAAGGCCGAAAGAGCUCCCUCAUGAUCCCAUUAAUACUAAUAGAAUAGGAGAUCGUCAAGACACACUAAAUCACAAUAUCCACCAAAGCCUGUGCAAAACCCAUUUGUUCCAUCAUUACCCUUAGAAAAAUCCACUCAACUCGAUCACAUACCUUACUCACGUCCAAUUUUAAAGCUAUAAAACCUCUCCUUCCAAAUUAUUUUUGCCUCAAAAUAUACAAAAUCUCAUAAGCAAGCAAUACAUUAUUCGAAAUCAGACGCCCUGGCACAAACGUACUUUGAGCACUAUCAAUGCAAAUAUUAAGAGUCUUUUGAAACCAAUUAGCUACCAUUUUUGCUAUUAUCUUAUAUAACAUUACACAAGCUUAUAGGUCUAAAAUUCGCCAUAUUAGUAGGAUGAGGGAUUUUCGGUAUGAAAAUAAUAUUCGUAACAUUCACAAGGUUAAGUUCUUUACCAUCAUUUAAAACACCCAAAUAAUAGAGACUUACAUCACAUCCCACAAUAUGCCAACAUCUUUGAUAAAAUAAUAUUGGGAAACCAUCAAACCUGGUUCCUUUGUUGGACCCAUAUCCCUUAAAGCCGCAAAGACUUCUUCCUCUGUAUAUUUCCCUGUUAAUGUCGUAUUUAUAACAACUUGUUUUCAGUGGUGUCAGAAAUAGCGAUUUCGAGACCACAACUCUAACGUAAUCAUCUGUAAAUAUUAAUUAUUUAACAUUUACGAUGUUAUUAGUAUUUUAUUAAAAUUUGGAUAUGAAAUUUUAUCGUUUGGAUAGUUAAUUAAGUAAAAAGGACUAAAUCGUAAAAAUUGUGAGAGUUGGUCUCCAUUAGUUAAGGUUAUUAAAUAGCUAUAAAAAAUUAAUUAAGGGACUUGAGUGGUAGCUAAGCCAUUUAUUAUGGGCGAUAGUGGGUUUAAAAUUUAUGAAUGUCAAUUGUUUAUAAAAGGGGUAAAUAUGUAAUUAGGUAAAUAACCUUAUUAUAGCAAAAUAUGCUAAAAUCAAAUGUCAUUUUCUUCUUUACAAUUCAACACCAAAAAACCCUAGAGGAGAAAAGAACAUAUUUGGCCAAACUUUGGCUUGGUCUUUAGGUAAGCAAACUUUGUCCAUUUUUAGUAAUUUUUAUGUUUUUGAGCUUAUAAUGGUUUAAUCUAGCUAACCGAGGACCAAUUUAUAAAACUGUUAAAAGUUAUAAUUUUUUCCAUUGAUGAGUUGAGCAGUUAAUGAAUGUUUGUGGAAGAUUAAUAAGCCUUGUUGUUAGAUUAAACUAUUUUGCAUAGUAAUUCUUUAUGAUUUUAAUGUUAAAGGAAUAAAUUGUUAAAGAUGAUAAAUUAAAAUGACUUGUUGUAAAUUAACAACAUAUAUCAACUGUCUUGAGAUUUUAAGAGGUUCGGUUAUGUUGGGUUCUAAGUAGAAAUGGUGGAAUUGUAUGAUUAUGGCUUAGAGAUUAAAUUGAAUAAAAGUGAAAAGUUGAGGGAAAUUUUGUAAAAUGUCAAAAGGACUUAAUUGUUUUAAGUGAUUUAAUUUUUUUUGUUGAAUUAGUUAAUUGAAUAAAAUUAUUGUGUUAGAUCAAGAACGAGUUGGCAAUCGUGGAAAAGAAAAGGUUGUUGUGUAGUCCUUGUACUUUGGCAUUUCUACAAAUUAGUCCUAUAAGUUCGUAUGGUUAUUUAUAUUUCUAUUGAUUCUUGUAUAUUAUAUUUUAAUAUAAUGUUAUAAUUGAUAUUGUACGUAGUAUGACCUUGAAAAUGAAUAAAGUGGAAUACGGCUUUUCUAUCAGGCCUUAGGUCGGAGAUUACUGUCAAGGUUUAAAACAGUGAUAUAAGCUGUAGCGAUGGCUUGAGGUCCUGCAUGUGUUGCAGAUUCACUACAGCUUAUGUGAGAAACAUCAUGAACCGAUUAAAAUACUGAAUGUUAGCUCAAAUGAGCUAUAUCCACUAAUUAUGUGAAAUAAAGAGCUCAUGGUACUAAUGAUUCAGAAAUAUACACUGAAGUAAUGCUCUGAUUAUUAAUUGUCUAUUGAGAAUGGUGAUUGAGGGGAAUUACAUUGCUCAAUUACAAAUUUGAUUUAUCUUGUUUAAGUUGGUAAGGUUUUUCGUUUAAUCAAACAAACUUACUGAGCUUUAUGUAAGCUUACCUGUAUUUGGUUCUAUUUUUGUAGAUUACGUUUUAUAGAAUUAGAAAAUCAAGUCAACUCGGGAAAUCACACUAUCCGGAAACCUUUGGUAGAUUUUGAUUUUGUAUGGUUAUAUGGCAUGUAAUAGGACCUUUAUGGAUAUGUUGUAUUAGUUUUUAGCUUGGUGCAAGUAUUAUACUUUGAGCUUGUGAAGUUGUGUUGAAUAACUUAUGAAGUAUGCAUGUUUCAUCAUAGUUAAGUUUGUUGGUCAUGAAUGAAAUAAAAUAAUAUCAUGUUGAAUUAUGGUAUGAAAUGAAUUGAAUGUAGAAUUGAUGUGUAAUUUGAGACCUGUAUAAGCAACUAUAGAAGUGAAUUGAUAUGAAUUGUAUAGAAGUGUCAAUGAUGGCACAUUGGUUAGGCACUUAGGUUGUUGUGUUUACAUGAAAUGAAUGCUCUUAAAGGUGUUAAAUGGCUCAUAAAGACGUAUGCUUGCAAGUGUUUAGGUACCUAAGAAUAUAGGUGAAAAAUGAGUAUGAUUUAGGUCAAUUUUGGGUACACACGGCCAUGUGAAACAUAUGGGUAGCCCACACGGGCGUGUGCUAUGAACGUGUUUAGGUGCAAUAUCCAUACGGUCUGCGACAUGGCCGUGUGACUCAAAACAGUUUUGAACACGGCGUGCAACAUGGCCAUGUGACCCAAUAUCGAAUUGAACACAGUUUAACACAGGGUAUUUUGAACGUUACAUGGGCUAGCACAGGGCCUACGACACGGCCGCGUGAAUUUAUUUCGAAUGGUACAUAGUUGGCCACACAGCCAUGUCCCUGCACUAUACGACUUUAAUAGUGUCACACGACCGUGUGACCACUAUAACAGUCCGGUUUUGACCCUAGUCGGAAUAGUAGUUUCGAGACCACAAAUUGGAGUCUGAAAAAUAUUUUAAUAUUAUUUUCUGUGUCUGUGAUAUGUGAAUUUACAUCUGUGAAAUUUCUGUGAUUUAAUUUGUCUGUUUCUGUGCUUAAUUAUGAAAAAGGAUUAAAUCGCGUAAAGUGUAAAAGUUGAGUGCUAGAUGCUAAAGCACCUAAUUGGCUUGGCUUUUAAAAAUAAAAGUCCUUGCAUGUCAAAUUUACCAUUUGUUUUAAUGGUGGACAAAAACGGCCAUGUAGUUGGUGAAUUUAAUGUUAUGUCAUUAAGGGCAAAAUGGGAAAAUGAUUAUUAAAGUUAUUAAAUGAAAAUAAACAUGAAAAUGAAGCCAUUUCAUGCAUGUAUUGCCGAAAAUACAAAGAAAUAGAAAGAAGAAGACCAUCCUAGGGUUCGGCCAUUGAUUUGAUUGAUUAAGGUAUGUACUUUGGUCCGUUUUUGAUAAUUUCUACGUUUCUGUGAUCGUUGCUUCGUGUUCUUCAAAACCCAUGUCUAAAUUUCUGUUUCUAUUAAAGAUUUCAUGAAAUGCGAUUGUUGAUAUCAUGAGUUUUGUGAUGUUUUUGAAUGAAUUAUGAAGGUUGGGUAGAUGGUUCAUAAGUUUUGUCUUUGAGUUUUUGAUGAAAUUGAGCUAUUUGGGUUAAAUUUUGAAAAUGAGGUUUAAAAGGACUAAAUUGUGAAUUGAACAUGUUGUAUGGGCUUAUAUAGAACCCAUGAAAAUCCAGCUAGCCCUUUUUGCAAAGAAAUUUUGCAUAUUGGUGAUUUUAUGAAAAAUAGACUAAAUUGUCAAAGUGUGAAAAUGUAAGGGCUAAAAUGUAAAGUGCCCUAAAUAUGUGCAUAUGGAUUAAAUUGUAUGAAAUGAAUGAUUGAAUGGUUGAAUUUGUAUUGUAUUAGAUCAAUAACAAAGAAAAUCAGACUUAGAUCGGGGGAAAUCCAAAAUAGUUUAAUAGACGACUCGUUUUAUCUGAAAUCCGUCCGAGGUAAGUCAAAUUACAAUUACGUGUUAAUUGAAAUAAAUUAUGCACAUAUAAACUGUAAUCUGUAUUGGAUGGCCUUGAGUGCCUGAUGAAUAUCUUUGGAGUAAAGUAUGAUAAUAUGUUAAUAUUUGAAAAGCUCUGUAUGUUUCUAAAAAAAGUUGACAUCUGUCUGAGACAUCGUGUAAGACCGUGUCUGGGACACAGGCAUCGAUUGAGAUUUAUGUAUAAGACCAUGUCUGGGACAUCGGCAUCGUAUCUGAUUUCGUGUAAGACCCUGCUUGGGACAGAGGCAUCGAUAUUGAAUUACAUGUAAGACCACGUCCGGGACAUCGGUAUUGUACUUAUUUAUGAGCAUCUAUGCCGUUUCUGACCCAUUUGAUGAUAGCGUACGAAAUCUGAGAUUGAGUAUAUGAAAUGUAUAACCUAUGCAGGUACGUUUGUAUCGUACUAAAUUUCUGAAUAUGAAAAACUCUGUCUCUGUGAAAUAUGUAUGGAAAUGAAGCAUGACAUAUAUGCAAACAAAGGAGCAUGGUUAAGUUUAUAAAUUAUUCUAUGAAAUGGUUAUGAAUCUUUAUAGUUGAAUUGUAUUUAUAUGCUUUAGUAGUUAGACAAAUUGUAUUUGGCUUACUAAGCUCUUUGUAGCUUACUCUGUGUGUUUACUGUCUGUUUUACAGUUAUCGUAGCUACUGAAGGCUCGGGGAUAGUCGAGGAUUGUCACCACACUAUUGAUCUCAUUUUGGUACUUUUGAAAGUGUACAUAUUUUAAUGUAUGGCAUGUAUAGGCUAGAAGGUUUAUGUAUUAAGUUUUGAAUUGUAAAUAUAGGUUAUGCAAUGAAAGUUGGCUAUCAAAUGGUAUGUUUGUGUUAAGUUUUAAUAUGGUUUGAAUGAGUUGUUGAAUGAUGAUGAAAUAGUUGUAAUGAAGCAUGUUUUGAGUAAGAAAUUGGCUUAAACCAAGCCUGCAUUGUGCCACAUGGCCAUAGCGCACGGGCGUGUUUGUUGGCUGUGGGCUUAAGUCAGUAGCUAGCUAAGAAUCACACGGCCGUGGCACACGGGCGUGUCUGUUGGCCAUGGGAAUAAGUCAGUAUAUAAGCUCUAUUUUGGCACGGCUGGUUCACAUGAGCGUG
rnacentral:lncRNA from 1 species